rnacentral:rRNA from 1 species
AGUGAACGCUGGCGGUAGGCCUAACACAUGCAAGUCGAACGGCAGCACAGUAAGAGCUUGCUCUUACGGGUGGCGAGUGGCGGACGGGUGAGGAAUACAUCGGAAUCUACUUUUUCGUGGGGGAUAACGUAGGGACACUUACGCUAAUACCGCAUACGACCUACGGGUGAAAGCAGGGGAUCUUCGGACCUUGCGCGAUUGAAUGAGCCGAUGUCGGAUUAGCUAGUUGGCGGGGUAAAGGCCCACCAAGGCGACGAUCCGUAGCUGGUCUGAGAGGACGAUCAGCCACACUGGAACUGAGACACGGUCCAGACUCCUACGGGAGGCAGCAGUGGGGAAUAUUGGACAAUGGGCGCAAGCCUGAUCCAGCCAUACCGCGUGGGUGAAGAAGGCCUUCGGGUUGUAAAGCCCUUUUGUUGGGAAAGAAAAGCAGCAGGUUAAUACCCCGCUGUUCUGACGGUACCCAAAGAAUAAGCACCGGCUAACUUCGUG